rnacentral:lncRNA from 1 species
CCAAUUCAAGUUUGGAGGAUAUUGUGAUGAUAUCUUGACACACAAAAAAGCUGGAGGUUGAUUAAGAUGAUGAUGAUGUUUAUGAUGAUGAGAUUGUGAUGGUGCUUAUAUACUAUGCAUUCAUUUUUACAUGUACAUUACCUAUCACCAAUAUGUGCCUAUAUCUAUCAGUCAAUAUGGGAUGGUUGCAUGGAUAUGGGUGAUGAAUAUGCCUUGUGUUAUUUAAUAUUGAUUGAACCUGCUAAGCCUGGGGUGGUUGGGGUACACAAAGGCUCGACUAUGUGUUUGGUUGUCCGAAUUACCUAUUACUCAUAUUGUUAUUGAUAUUAUAGUUAUUAUUGUUAUUAUUAUUAUAAUGGAUAGCUUAUGAUAGAUUGG